UGAUGCUUGGGCGCUGUCGGUUCCGGUGGGGAUCAGCCACUGGAGGCAAGGGGGAAAGUGCAGUGCAAGACUGCCGCUGUCCCGCAGCUGUGAAGCUGUUUUGGGGUUGAACGGAGCUAUCUCGCCAACCACAAAGUAGCCGAGCCAGAACGCCCGCCGAUCGCCGAUCUGCUUU
rnacentral:ncRNA from 2 species